UGGGGAAUAUUGCACAAUGGGCGCAAGCCUGAUGCAGCGACGCCGCGUGCGGGAUGACGGCCUUCGGGUUGUAAACCGCUUUUGAUCGGGAGCAAGCCUUCGGGUGAGUGUACCUUUCGAAUAAGCACCGGCUAACUACGUGCCAGCAGCCGCGGUAAUACGUAGGGUGCAAGCGUUAUCCGGAAUUAUUGGGCGUAAAGGGCUCGUAGGCGGUUCGUCGCGUCCGGUGUGAAAGUCCAUCGCUUAACGGUGGAUCUGCGCCGGGUACGGGCGGGCUGGAGUGCGGUAGGGGAGACUGGAAUUCCCGGUGUAACGGUGGAAUGUGUAGAUAUCGGGAAGAACACCAAUGGCGAAGGCAGGUCUCUGGGCCGUUACUGACGCUGAGGAGCGAAAGCGUGGGGAGCGAACAGGAUUAGAUACCCUGGUAGUCCACGCCGUAAACGGUGGAUGCUGGAUGUGGGGCCCGUUCCACGGGUUCCGUGUCGGAGCUAACGCGUUAAGCAUCCCGCCUGGGGAGUACGGCCGCAAGGCUAAAACUCAAAGAAAUUGACGGGGGCCCGCACAAGCGGCGGAGCAUGCGGAUUAAUUCGAUGCAACGCGAAGAACCUUACCUGGGCUUAACAUGUUCCCGACAGCCGUAGAGAUAUGGCCUCCCUUCGGGGCGGGUUCACAGGUGGUGCAUGGUCGUCGUCAGCUCGUGUCGUGAGAUGUUGGGUUAAGUCCCGCAACGAGCGCAACCCUCGCCCUGUGUUGCCAGCACGUCAUGGUGGGAACUCACGGGGGACCGCCGGGGUCAACUCGGAGGAAGGUGGGGAUGACGUCAGAUCAUCAUGCCCCUUACGUCCAGGGCUUCACGCAUGCUACAAUGGCCGGUACAACGGGAUGCGACACGGCGACGUGGAGCGGAUCCCUGAAAACCGGUCUCAGUUCGGAUUGGAGUCUGCAACCCGACUCCAUGAAGGCGGAGUCGCUAGUAAUCGCGGAUCAGCAACGCCGCGGUGAAUGCGUUCCC
rnacentral:rRNA from 1 species